rnacentral:rRNA from 1 species
GAUGAACGCUGGCGGCGUGCCUAAUACAUGCAAGUCGAGCGAAUGGAUUAAGAGCUUGCUCUUAUGAAGUUAGCGGCGGACGGGUGAGUAACACGUGGGUAACCUGCCCAUAAGACUGGGAUAACUCCGGGAAACCGGGGCUAAUACCGGAUAACAUUUUGAACCGCAUGGUUCGAAAUUGAAAGGCGGCUUCGGCUGUCACUUAUGGAUGGACCCGCGUCGCAUUAGCUAGUUGGUGAGGUAACGGCUCACCAAGGCAACGAUGCGUAGCCGACCUGGGAGGGUGAUCGGCCACACUGGGACUGAGACACGGCCCAAACUCCUACGGGGGGCAGCAGUAGGGAAUCUUCGGCAAUGGACGAAAGUCUGACGGAGCAACGCCGCGUGAGUGACGAAGGCUUUCGGGUCGUAAAACUCUGUUGUUAGGGAAGAACAAGUGCUGGUUGAAUAAGCUGGCACCUUGACGGUACCUAACCAGAAAGCCACGGCUAACUACGUGCCAGCCGCCGCGGUAA